AUGGAGCCUCAAAUGGCUGACCAUUUUGAUUUCAUGGACAAUCCUGAUCUAGAUCAAGCAACUGAUGCAUCAAGUGAACUAGCAGAUGAUCCCCCAAUUCAUGAGAUUAUGGAGCCUCAAAUGGCUGACCAUUUUGAUUUCAUGGACAAUCCUGAUCUAGAUCAAGCAACUGAUGCAUCAAGUGAACUAGCAGAUGAUCCCCCAAUUCAGCUGUUAGGACGAAUUACAACAGUGAAGGAAUUGCUUGCAACCAGGCUUUUUGAAAAUGAGGAGAUCGUAUAUACUCAGAAAUCGGGAGAAAGGAAACAAUUGACAGGCAGAAUUGAUGGUGCAUUUUAUCGCUGCUCUUGUCACAAUGAGGUCAUGUCCGCGUCAAAGUUUGAGAAACAUGCGGGCUGUACCUCUCAUAACCAAAAUGAUCGUAUCAUGUUGUGGGGUGAGCGAUCGCUGCAUGCCAUCGUUGCCUAUCUCAAAUCUCUUGGUUCAGCUGAAGAACAACUUGCAGCAAUAUUGGUAAUGAAGAAAAAGAAUGAAGACAGGAAGGCCUCACGAGACCAAGGUUAG
rnacentral:rRNA from 1 species